CCAAGGAUAGUAUAGUGGUAGCGCUGCCGUCCUUCACAUGGGAGACUGGGGUUCGAAUCCUGUUUGGG